rnacentral:lncRNA from 1 species
CCCGCUGUGAAGAGAACAUCCUUCGACUCCCGCAGGAGGCCACAGGGAGGGGGAGCAGACACAGAGUCAAACAUUGUCAGUCUGGCUACAACAGAAGGCUGAUGAUACCUUUAGGACAACAGUCCAACCCAACAGCAUCUCCACAAAACUGAUAAGGUAUUUUAAAUGUAGUAAAAGAUAAGAGCUGUCACACUUCGA